rnacentral:rRNA from 1 species
GACGAACGCUGGCGGCGUGCUUUACACAUGCAAGUCGAACGGUGAAGGUGGAGCUUGCUCCGCCGGAUCAGUGGCGAACGGGUGAGUAACACGUGGGCCACCUGCCCCUAACUUUGGGAUAACUACUCGAACGAGUAGCUAAUACCGGCUAUGAAGUCUGUAGGCAUCUACGGACUUGGAAAGUUUUUCGGUUAGGGAUGGGCCCGCGGCCUAUCAGCUUGUUGGUGAGGUAGUGGCUCACCAAGGCGACGACGGGUAGCCGGCCUGAGAGGGCGACCGGCAACACUGGGACUGAGACACGGCCCAGACUCCUACGGGAGGCAGCAGUGGGGAAUAUUGCGCAAUGGGCGAAAGCCUGACGCAGCAACGCCGCGUGCGGGAUGAAGGCCUUCGGGUUGUAAACCGCUUUCAGCAGGGAAGAAGCGAAAGUGACGGUACCUGCAGAAGAAGCACCGGCUAACUACGUGCCAGCCGCCGCGGUAA